GUGGUUUAAUUCGAUGAUUACGCGAGGAACCUUACCUGGCUUAAAUGUAGAGUGCAUUUUUUUAGAGAUUAGGAAAUUCCCUUCGGGGCUUUUCUGGCAAGGUGCUGCAUGGUUGUCGUCAGCUCGUGCCGUGAGGUGUCGGGUUAAGUCCCAUAACGAGCGCAACCCUUAUCGUUAGUUGCCAGCUGGUAAAGCAGGGGACUCUAGCGAAACUGCCACCGUAAGGUGAGAGGAAGGUGGGAUGACGUCAAAUCAGCACGGCCCUUAUGUCCAGGGCUACACACGUGUUACAAUGGCCGGCACAGAGGGCAGCUACCUGGUGACAGGAUGCUAAUCUCGAAAACCGGUCUCAGUUCGGAUCGAAGUCUGCAACUCGACUUCGUGAAGCUGGAUUCGCUAGUAAUCGCGCAUCAGCCAUGGCGCGGUGAAUACGUUCCCGGGCUU
rnacentral:rRNA from 1 species